CUCAUCUCUGUUUAAAAAACAAACAAUUCUAUUUCCUCCUGAUAGUUUCCAUCUCAUUCAAAGCCCUUUUGCCAGAGAAUUGCCCUUCUUCUUCCCUCCCCAUGGCCACCAUCCGUAUCUGGGAGGGAGGUGUGUUCCCCUGCUUUCCAAUGUUCCCAGAUUUGGGGGAGUGGAGAAUGGGGGAGAAUAGGGCUUUGACCAUGGAAAUGGCUAGCUUUUCCUACGUCCUUCCCACCCUGGUUAGGGUGAAGAGUCCAUGGGAAGUGUCCCCCCACUCCCAGGCCUAUAUAAGCCCCAGCUCCUCUGAGUUUUUUCCCUUCCCCCCAGAGACCACCACCACUACCACCACAUCCUUCAUCCCCCCUCCCACCACGAAGAUCUGUGAUCCUGGAGAGGUUGGGGAUGGUGUGGGAUCCUCAACCGGCCUCCUGCUGACUGUGACCGUGACUGUGACAGUGACCACCAUAGCAGCCAGUGGCCUCUUUAUUUAAGUCCCUCUUUGCAUUCCUGUGGAAGAAAAUGCUGAGAACAGAAACGAACAACAACAAAAGGCUCA